GGCUGGGCAGGAGGGGCGGGGACUUCAGAGCCCGACCGCGGAGGGGCUUCCGCAGCCAGGGGACGUGAUUGGUGGCUGCGUCGAGGGGCAGAGAGCGGCUGAGGGUUUCUGGGGGAAAAGACGCUCAGGAGGUGGAACCCCGAGGGGCGAUGGGGACGGUAAUAACGCGUCUUUCCAUUUGCUGGAGGAGCCUUUGAGACCGCCAUAGAGGUACCGUUGCAAAAACUUGUCUCACUGCCAACCUACCUGAAGGCUACUGCAGAGGGAAACCACGUGUAAUCCCAGGUGCAGCCGUCCUGUAAAACACGCCCACACAUACUUCAUCAUCAGAUGACUUUGCACAUGCCAGCAGACCCCGCUGUGGCUUCCACAGACCACGCGAAAGUCUGAACCUCAAGAUACCCCAGGGGUUCUGCGACUCUCUUGAGGCAUCUCCCACAUGCUGCCACAGCCGUGGAAAGUAAUACAUUAAAACUAGGACUCAUUUGUCUGUAGGUCCGGCACAGGGUGGAAUGUUCCCCACAGUAUCACCAGCUGCUGGAGUUCUGAUCACAUACUGCCUUCUGACUCUGCAGAUUUCAUAAACUCUCGUGGUGCAAACACACCUCUUCUCCAUGCAUAGACUCAAACAGAGACAUUUGUACAUCAGCAUCUGGAGUCAUAGUGGUUCAUUGCAUUUGCAGCCAGCAGAGAAAAAUACCUUCAAGCACAGCUGGAGGGGACCAGCUGCCAGUCUUUAACCGGCACUGAGAUUUCUGGAACUUCCACACCAACUUUCCGUCUUCCUGCACAGUGCCACAUUUCCAGGGUGAAAGAGCCCUCACACCUGGAGAGUGCUUCCCGCCAGGAAAUCCACAGGCAUGUCCAUCCCGAGUCUACAUGUGCCAAGAUGUAAAUGACUUACAUAAGUGCGUUAACCUGUAGGGAUCCUAGCGUCCUCAGCAUUCUGGUGGCAGGAAUUCACGGGAAGCACCCAGAACGCAGCCAGAUUCCUGCGAGCAGGUGUGUAGUUUGUGGGUAGGAGCCAGGACCGGGAAGAGAACACCGGGUGUCACAUCUGAUACUCUACAGGCGCUAAAUAUAGCGAUGUAAGGGAAAGGGGAAAAACACGCCAUCUCUGUCUCACUUAUCGGCGACACGUUGAAAAGCAGGGCAGCUUUGUGCUUGUUUUCACAGUUGCACAAGUCCACUGGGCCACUGCUGUGACAGGGUCAGUGACGGAUGCGAGUCUGUUGUUUUAUUUUAUGUUCUUGAUUACUCUGUGCUUCUGCGGUCCAUUUCAGGACUUUUUCAAAGCCCGUAUCUUUGACAUGAUAACGCGUUCUUUCUUGGCGAUACAAACAGCAGGGCGGUGGCACUCAGCACACAGGGCGGUGGCACUCAGCACAGCGUGUGCCCAGGAAAGAGUAACACAGAUAAUGCUAAUGUAUGGAUAACAUUCUCAUUGUACUUUGAUUUACAUAAUUCCGUUUGUUCGUCCGUCCGCACGUGGACACCGCAAAGGGGGAGGGAGGCUUUGAGGCUUGCUCCAGGUGUCCCACCACAGACAGGUUGGCCGAGCCUUUGCCUCCUUAUAUCAUUAAUACUCUUCCCUGGCCUUGAAUAGACCCAUCCAUGGUUUUAAGUCACCAGCUUCAGAGUAAUGCAACGGUGAGGCGCUUAAAAUUUAGGCCUGUGGCAUCAGGGGUGUAGCUGACUCGGGGCAGUGCUAGCUGAGCAUGGACAAAGCCCUGGGUUUGAUCUCCAGCACCUCAUAAAACUGCUCCUGAUGGAUGUAAUACCGGCACUCAUGGAGGCAAGAGGACCAGAAGCAAAGGCUAUCCUCAGCAACAUGGCGUCUUUGAGCACAGCCUUGGCAUCAUGAGACUGUCUCAAAAUAAAAUAAAUAUUAUGAAAUGUAAAUAAAUAAGUAUCAGGCUUACCAAAAGCAUAUUAUAGCUGGAUGUGUUAGCUCGUGUCUGUAAUCCCAGCAUUCAGAGGAGGCUGGAGGUUCCCAAGUUGAGUAUAGCCUUGGCUACAAUAAGAAAGUAUAAGCCAGCAAGACCCUGUUUCUAAAAUAAAUUUUUUUUAAUUAGGGAAAAGAAAAGCAUAUUGCAGGUUCCUCCCCCCCCCCCCCCCCACCAUUGUGCUUGUUUUUGUUUUAUUUUGCGGCACUGGGAACAACUCCAGGCCCUCAAACGUGCUAGGCAAGUUCUGUCCACUGCGUUAGUCCAACUCUUGGCCUGUUGAGAUAGGCUCUUACUAUGUAGCCCAGGCUAGCCUGGAACUUGCAGUCGUCCUGCCUCUUGCCUCUGCUUGCUGAGUACCAGGCUCACCCCCACCACACCCAGCUUGGCUACUGAUUUUGGAGACAGACUUUUCCCACUGCAGCUAAGUCUUAACUCUAGCUGGCUUUGAACUUCCAGUUCUCCUUAGUUACCCUCCUGUAUCACGUGCUCAGUUACUUCAAAGUUUGAGUAGCUCACAGGGUCAGGGGUUCAGUGUCAAUUAAUAGUGCUUCAAAUAACCCGGCUUUCCUUCCAAUCUAGCAAGCAAAACAGGAAACAUGCUUCGUAAGAGUGACUCUGAAGCUAUGGGCCAGGUUCUGUCUCCUGUUCUUUGCUAAUGAAUUCACUCAUUCAGUGAUACAUACCUUCCCUUCCAGUUGCUAGGAAACACUUUCCCAUCAAAGACUGCUAGGUACCUACACAGUUAGAUAUUAUCAUACUUUUAUGAAUUUUUUGAGUUGUUUUGUUGUUGUUUGUGAGUGUGUGUGUGCGUGUAUGUGUGUUUGAGACAAGGUCUUAUUCUGGAGCCCAGGCUGAUUUUAGGAUCAGCUUGAUUUUACGAUCCUUCUUCCUGCCUCAGUCUCUCAAGUACUAGGAUUACAAGCAUGUUCUACCACACCCAGCAUCCUUUGCUGAAUUUCUUUGACUGUGUGGUAUCUCUUUAUUCUUUAUAUCUUUUAAAUAAAUCAUGCUCCAACCUACUUUCUAUAAGUAGUUCCUGUUGGGAGCACAUCUCGUGGGAACAAAACCAUCACUGCACAAGUCUGCACAUUUCAAGUUGUCUCUUGAAGCUCUGGGCACAGAGGCAGAAAACUAGACAUUUAAAUGCCCCUCAACAAACGGGUGGCUGAAUAAAUUGUACUACCUUCAUCCCUGGGAACAUUAGGCAGCUAGAACAAUGGGUUAAGGCUGUGUUUAUUAGCUACAUGUUAUAUGUUCUCAUGCAGUUAUUUUGUGUGUAUGGUGGGGGUGGCAGGGUACACAUGUGAAGAUCAGUGGUCAAUUUCUGGGAGUCUCUUCUCUCCUUCUAUGUGGAAUCCAGGAAUUAAGCUCAUGCUUUCAGGUUUCUAUUAGCUAAGUCAUCUUGGGACACUUUGUGCUCAUCUUUAUAAAAGAAAAACACUUCCUUUUCUCACUCCACCUCUCAGGGGGUAAACCGGGGAAGGAUAUGCUCACCAGAGGGCCACUGGCUUCCUAGUGGGAAGCCAGAGAAGGGAGGAGGCAAGCCAGAAACACGCAUGCCAGGAAAACUGGAAAACAUACCACUGUUAACAAUCUAAGGCAGGCCAAAGUGCAUCUCAUGUUUUGUAUCUUGCUACUGUAAAUCCAGAAGAUAGGAUCUGCACUUAGAUAAGGAUCUAAACAUGUUAUCUAGUAGCCAUGGGACACUGGCCCCAAGAUACCCCCCUGCUUAAAGGAGCUCCCUGCAGAAUGCAAUACUAAGACAGGGGACCUGACCACCCAGAGAGCCAAGGGACUCGAUGAGGUGGGGCAUACAGUAUGGAAAUGCUGGAUCAAGGAAGGAUUCACAUCUAGGGCAGAAUGGCUCAAGAUAUUUCUUCACACUGGGACUGGAGAGGUGACUCAGCAGUUAAGAGCACUGGCUGCUCUUCCAGAAAGGAUCAUAGUUCGAUUCCCUGCAUCCACAUGGCAGCUUACAACCACCUGUCACUUCAGUUCCAGUGGAUCUGACACCCUCUCUGGGUUCUGGGAGCGCUAGGCCCGCAUGUGGUAUACAGACACGCAUGCAGGCAAAACACCCAUACACAUAAAAAACCAAUUUUUAAAAAGAUUUCACCAUAGAAUAGCACACUUUGAAAUUGGUGAAUUACGUAUUUCUAGAAUUUUUCAUUAAUAUUUUGGACCAAGGUCAACCAUGAGUAAUUGAAACCAGGCUGUGAAACUAUGUUUAAACGGGCACCACACACAUAUAAUAGACAGUUAAAAAUAAAAUCUGAAAGAGAUCAGAGGUCUGGAGAAAGACACAGAAUAACUAUCAGGGAUUUUAUCAUCAUAUAUGUAUAUCUCUAUAAAAUAUACAUACAACAAAUCCAUUAAAAAUAAGUCUAAAUAGUUCCACUUGUUAAAACUCAUUGUCGUCACUAUACAAAAUAGUAAUCGAGAAAAAGCCCCUGUGUGUGUGUGUGUGUGUGUUUCACUUUAUAGCACCCAAACUGGCCUUAAAUACAUGUUCCUGCCUCGGCCUCCUGAGUGCUGGGAUCACAGGCAUCUGUCACCACUCCUGGUUUUACGGACUGCUGGAGAUCAAGCCCAGAGCUUCAAGGAUGAAAACACUCUCCCAAUUGAUAGAUGAAAAGAAACAGGGCUGGGAGAUGGCUCUGAAGGCAAGAGCAUCGGCUCUGUGGCCAGGAAACCUGAGUUUGAGUUCCUAGCGCCUACAUAAAAGCUGGGCGAGACGACCUGUGCCUGUAACCCCAGCAGUAAGGCCUUGGGGACAGUGGAGAUGGGUAAAUCUUGAGAGUUCCCUGGCCAGGCAGCCUAGCCAAAACAGCCAGCUUCCAGUCCAGUGGGAAGCCCUUUGUCAAGGAAACAAGGUGGAGAGAGAUAGAGGAAGACCUUCAAAUCCUCUUCCAACUUCCACGUGUCCGUGCACACACACACACACACACACACACACACACACACACACACACACACACACACACACACACACAAGAAAUGCUUACAGGAGCUAGUCAUACAGUGGUCCACACAUCAGUCUUUCCAGGGGAAAAGACUGGGUUGUGUGAGGGAAGUUAAAUCUAGUGAGUUUCUGCCUCCUUUGCGUCGAGCAUGUGAUAGAACUGUUUCUGAAAAUCUGAUGAUUGAAAAAGGAGGAGGCAGUGUCAUGAGAGAGGCCCCAGGCGGGGCCAGAACAUUACAGAAAAAGAGUCUAUGGGGGCACAGUAUGGAAGGCAUUUGGUGCACCUCCAUCUUCCGGGGGAUCAGAACUGCCAGGGCUCAAAGUUUGAGAGAGAAGAGAAGGAGGUAAAACUGGAGAGAGAGAGAAGAAUCGGGUUAUGAAGGUCUCGCAUGUCAGGUAAGAAAUUCAGCUAUUCUUCUUUAAGAAUGGGGGGGGGGCGGUCACUAAAGAAUUUCAAUUGAGAAAGUCAUGUGGUCAAAUUUCAAAGAUAAAUAUUAAACUGGGGUGGAGCAUGUAGCCGUGUGGCCAUGCAUGCACCUCCCAAGCGCUGUCGAAACAAACAGCAGACUCCCCAGCAGUGGAGGUGGUCUGAGGUGGCCCAGGUUAGGCACAAGGUGACCUGUUAGGGCGGUCCAGCUAUGAGAGAAUCCGAACUCAGGACACGGUUGUGCGAGUUUGAAGCUUUGGGAAGUGCACACUGGGUGUGGAUGCUAACAGCACGGGGGACCUCUAGGACAGAGCCAAGGCACAGGUGACUCUGGGAUUUCUGGUUUCUGUGAUGGGCCGGGUUCGCGGUACUGUUUUUGCAGAGAAUUAAAUAGAAAAGCAUGCAUGUUUCUCGGAGGGUGUGCGGGCUAGUUUUUAAUGUCAGCUUGACACGGCUGGAGUCAUCUAAGAGGUGGGAAGCUCAGCUGGGAAAAUGGUGCCGUAAGACCGGGCUAUAGGCAAGCCUGGGGGGCAUUUUCUUGAUUAGGGAUUGAUGUGGGAGGGCCCAGUGCAUUAUGGGUGGGGCCAUCCCUGGGCUGGUGGUCCUGGUUGCUAUAAGAAAGCAGGCUGAGCAAACCAUGGAGAGCAAGCCAGUGAGCAGCACUUCUUACUGGCCUCUGCAUCAGCUGCUGCCUCCAGGUUCCUGCCCAGAUCGCCUUUGAUGGUGAACUGUGACAUGAGAGUGUAAGCAAAAUAAACGCUUUCUUUCCAGAAUUUCUCUUGGUCAUGGUGAUUUAUCACAGCAAUAGAAACAUUUAGACAGAGCAGGUAAGAAGAUUCCAUUUGGAGUGCGAAGGUGAUGUGUGUGCCUUUGAGAGAACGUUGGGAAGGGACGUAGAUAUGGGAAACCCCAAAGUACAGGAAGUUAAAGCUGGCAGUCACAAAGUGUGCAAAAGAAGGCGAUAGCUUUGGAGAGUUCUGGAAAGUAUCAACCCUCGAGAGACAAGCAGAAAGGAAAAAAAGAAAAAAAAAAACUAGUGAAGAAGCGAUUAGAUAAAUAAAAAGAGACUUUUGCCUGCCAUGAUGGUAUACACUUUUAAUCCCAGCACUCAGGGAGCAGAAGCAGGUGGAUCUCUGAGUUUCUAAGCCAGCCUGGUUUACGUGUUAAGUUCUGGGUCAACUAGAGAGCUAUUUGGUGAGACUGAGCCUCAAAAAUAAUUAAUUAACUAAUAGUAUAGGUAAAAAGGCUAUUUGGCUUUGCGUGGAAACAUGGAGAGAGUUCACCAGAGGGAAAUGCUUAGAGGCAAACAGAGGUUCAGGCCUUAGACUCGGAAACCAGACUCCCUGGGCUCCAGGACAAACUCUGGCGCUUACCUACGCAAGCUUGGGAAAGUUAGUUAAAUUCCAUUGUUCCUGCAUUUCAUCGUCUAUAAAAGGUACACAAUGGCUGUACCUAUCGCUCAGAGCUGGUGUGGGGAUUAAGUAAAUUGCAUUUGGGAAGUGCUUAGAACUUUUUAGCAGUUGGGACAAGGUAAUCGCUGUGUGAGUGAGUGACUGGUAGAUUGUCACAGUAGUAUCAAAUACUAAAGUACCUGAAAACGCCACUGGAUUCUGGACUUAGCAAUUCAUUCUAUUUAUAUUUGAGUAGCUACUAUAUGUCAGGGCACUAAAGAUAGAGUUAUGAACGAAACCCUGACCUUGCCCUUGAAAGAUCUAAUGUUCUGGUGAGCAGCCGUGAUUAAUACGGUGCAUGGUUCCUGUCCCCUACGCCUCGUCUCUCCACGCCUAGGCUGCAGCACCGUAUGUUGCAGAAACUAAUGCACAGCACAGAGGAGGUAAGCCAGCCUCCAAGCUGGAAAGGGACAGCCCCAGGAUCUGACUGAGUUCAACAGGUGCCCUAGCCUCUACAUCUUACCAUUUCUGGAUGGCUGCUGGUGACCUCGGUAACAGUUUUAGAAGCCUGGUGGGGCAAUACUUAGAAAGCAGUGAACGGAGUAUUGAGUAGACUCUAUACAGCAAAACCUCUCCCCAGAGGGGCAAAGUAACAAAGCUAUAGAUUGGCGGUGGCCUUGGCUCGUCAGUGGCAGAGUAAGAAAUGUUGAUUUAGUUAAAUCAAGUGUGUUCUUUGGUCAAGUCUUUCUCCAAUACCUGUUUCCCCAGUGACGUUGCAGUGAGCGGUGUGGUAGCCAGUUCAAUAUGAACCUCUCUGGUAAAUGGUUUAUGUCUGACAUUACUUAUCGAAGCAAUGUAAGUUGGCUAUCAGAUGGACACAUAGCAGACCCUCAUUCUAUAAGUAAAAAAAAAAAAAAAAAAAAAAAAAAAA